UCACUGGGCUUAAAGGGCGCGCAGGCGGACAUGAUAGUGUUCUGUGAAAUCCCCCGGCUUAACCGGGGAAUGGCAGGGCAUACUACAUGUCUUGAGUCAAGUAGGGGUGUGUGGAACUCUUGGUGGAGCGGUGGAAUGCGUAGAUAUCAAGAGGAACGCCGAAGGUGAAGACAGCACACUGGGCUUGAACUGACGCUGAGGCGCGAAAGCGUGGGGAGCAAACAGGAUUAGAUACCCUGGUAGUCCACUCCGUAAACGAUGUGUACUAGGUUGCGGAGGUUCUGACACCCUCGCAGUCGCAGCAAAAGUGUUAAGUACACCGCCUGGGGAGUACGGUCGCAAGGCUAAAACUCAAAGGAAUUGACGGGGGCUCACACAAGCGGUGGAGCAUGUGGAUUAAUUUGAAGCAACGCGCAGAACCUUACCUGGGUUUGACAUGCUUGGAUGCCUGUCUGGAAACAGAUUCGGCUGCCUUCGGGUGAAACUUGCACAGGUGCGGCAUGGCUGUGGUCAGCUCUUGUCGUGAGAUGUCGGGUUAAAUCCUUUAACGAGAGAAACCCUUACCGUUAGUUUCCAUCGGGUCAUGCCGGGGGCUCUAGCGGGACUUCCGGUGUCAAACCGGAGGAAGGCGGGGAUGACGUCAAAUCCUCAUGGCCUUUAUACCCAGGGGUUCACACGUGCUACAAUGGCCGGUACAGAGCGAUGGGAUACCGCGAGGGGAGGCACAUUUCAAAAAACCGGCCCCA
rnacentral:rRNA from 1 species